CCUAUUGCAGAAUUGGAUCCUAAAAGUACAAAUGCUGCAAUAAGAGUGUGUAUCAUUAGAAAGUGGGAAUUCCGAGGCGCAACAAAUGAUGGGCCUUUGCGCCAUGUCAACCUCAUCUUAGCUGAUGAACAGGGCACAUCCAUCCACGCUGAGAUUCAAGCCGCCCUAGUAGAUGACAAAGGCUCACUAAUCCAAAUUGACAAAGUCUAUGAGCUCAAACGCUUUCGUGUUGCUCCAUCCAGAAACUAUUACAAACCUGUUGACAACAGUAUGAUGAUACAAUUCACUCUUUACACUCAAGCAAAGGUAGUCGAAGAUCCACCACCCACCUUUCCAAGAUACGCCUACAAACUCACAUCUUUCGAAAAUAUAGGCAACAAUGUUGACAAUAAAACGUACUUGAUUGAUGUUCUAGGAAUCUUGACAGAAAUUGGCUCUCUAUAUCAUGUUGGUUACAACAACUCAAACAUCAUCAGAGACAUAUUUCUCAAGGACAUAAACAAUACCUCUACAAAAGUGACGCUUUGGGGACACCAAGCAUCUAGCUUCUCUGUCGACAACAUCUGCGAUGAGAAUGACAACAAACCUAUUGUCGUACUAUUUGUUGGAUGCCUUGCUAAGCGAUUCAAAGG
rnacentral:misc_RNA from 1 species